GGUUCAAACCCUAUUUGUUACAGUCUGGGAGGCCACACACAGAUAUAUAAAUCAAAAGUAGUUUAUUUAACUCCAACUAACUCCAACUGGGGGCAUAUUUCAUAACAUCAGAGUUUCAACCAAUAUCCUGUCUCUGUCACUGAUUUUGUCCUUUGGCCUUUUUCAAAUACUUUAUAGAAAUGUUGUCUGUUAUAUUUUAGAUUGUAUUAGAUCAAACUAUGGAUUUUAACCCCUGCCUUCCAGUUAGCAUUUAUAAGCAGUAUAUAAACAUUUGAUAGAUUCUAACAAACUACUGUUCUGCCAUUGUGAUCAAAGUUGCCUACUGUAUACAU